rfam:Enterobius vermicularis genome assembly, scaffold: EVEC_scaffold0000574
GCCUAGGUAGCGCAGUUGGUUAGCGCGUCAGUCUCAUAAUCUGAAGGUCGUGAGUUCGAGCCUCACCCUGGGCA